CUCUUACGGGGUGGCUUUUCAGAAGUGUAAAAAGCUUCUGGAAUAAGGGCUGGGCAAGACCGGUGCCAGCCGCCGCGGUAACACCGGCAGCUCAAGUGGUAGCCGCUUUUAUUGGGCCUAAAGCGUCCGUAGCCGGUCUGAUAAGUCUCUGGUGAAAUCCCACAGCUUAACUGUGGGAAUUGCUGGAGAUACUAUCAUGACUCGAGGUCAGGAGAGGCUGGAGGUACUCCCAGGGUAGGGGUGAAAUCCUGUAAUCCUGGGAGGACCACCUGUGGCGAAGGCGUCCAGCUGGAACGAACCUGACGGUGAGGGACGAAAGCCAGGGGCGCGAACCGGAUUAGAUACCCGGGUAGUCCUGGCCGUAAACGAUGUGGACUUGGUGUUGGGAUGGCUUCGAGCUGCCCCAGUGCCGAAGGGAAGCUGUUAAGUCCACCGCCUG
rnacentral:rRNA from 1 species